rnacentral:rRNA from 1 species
ACGUAGGGUGCAAGCGUUAAUCGGAAUUACUGGGCGUAAAGCGUGCGCAGGCGGUGUCAUAAGACAGAUGUGAAAGCCCCCGGCUCAACCUGGGAACUGCAUUUGAGACUGUGAUGCUUGAGUACCGCAGAGGGGGACGGAAUUCCGGGUGUAGCAGUGAAAUGCGUAGAUAUGCGGAGGAACACCGGUGGCGAAGGCAAUCCCCUGGGCCUGUACUGACGCUCAUGCGCGAAAGCGUGGGGAGCAAACAG